ensembl:lncRNA
UAGAGAACCUCGGUUAUGUAAUUAUUACCCCGGUAUGUCUGUUUUUCGAGAAGGCGAUUCCGACGCGAUUCGUUUUACCGAACUGCAAGUCAUUAUUUUUUUUCCCGCAUUCACAAUUGACCAUUAUGACGGAAGCCUGGAGGCUCUUCUAGGUGUGAAGAUAUUUAAUAUGUCUAGGGACAUCCUAAUAUUGGCCUAAUGGCCUUCAGUUCGGAGAAAGUCCAAAUAAUAAUGCAUAUCAAUAAGAACCGCAAAGUGUAACCUACGCAGAUAUUUAAUUAACUGACAUUUGUCAAUGUAUCAAUUCAUUGACACGAUAUCGUCCACCUCAUCUUUUAAAAGAGAAGAAUGGCACUAGGAAGGUUGAUAUAUUACAGAACAGAUCGUUCAUCUAUAGGCUAUGUGCAUAGCACUUUGUUUUAAGCAUCAAUUUGUUCUUAACCAAACUGAGUGCAGCACCUGUUCAACUGUAAUAUCCCUCAACACGGGGAUGACGAUUUGCACGGGAUAAGUAUUAUCAGAGGACCUUGGAGUUUGUCGGGAAAAAAUAGUUUUUUAGGGCUGAGAUAAUAACCUUCCGGCCAAGUAAAAAUUACUGACUUGGCAGAUUCAGACGGUACUAAAAUGACAAAUGCGGUGAUUUAUGCUCGUGCAAAUAAUUAUAUUACCUGAGCUCCCCCAGUAAAACUCUUCCAGUUAACACUAUUAAUGUUUGCCUUUACUGUGGGAAUUGUGGUCGAAUCAAUGCAAAAUUAGCCACUUUCAAUGCAACAUACCUGAAAACAAAACAAGCUAUGCAAGUUAUUUUGUUGUAGGCAGAACGCAUCGGAAUAUGAUUCUAUUGCAUCUAUAUAAAAAAAAAAAGCGGUGUGGCAGAACCAAUCAGAGCUGCAUUAGGCCUAUAUGCAAAUAGACCAUUGCCAUAUAUGGAUCUGUGCCAUUUUCUUUGAACUGGACUGUGUAAACAGCAUGAUAGGUCAUGAGUAAAUGCGCUUGUUUUGAGAUCAAAGCGAGAGCUGCAUAUUUGUUCAUAUCCUUUGCUAGUUAGUGAGUUAUUAGACCAGUUAUAGAUCAUUUGUAGUCAGCAAUGGGCACAACACGUGCAUUUCUAGACAUCUUUGAAAAGGGAGUCAGGUAAAGAGCUUUUUUUUUGUCUUGAAGGGGUGGUGUUGUAUUUUGAGACUGUCUUGAAUAAGCUACAUUUUCACUAUUCAAGUUUGAGCUCAGCAGACUUGAAAUUUCCUCAGUGCCGGGAACACUAAGGGAACGUUGCAUUUAUGCCUAAGGCUGAGACAAUAAGAAGACACAGUGGCAGAAUAAAUUCAACCACACCUUUGUUUCAUUACAAAACUGGAGAGAAACAUCUGUCCGGUGGAGUCCACAAAGCAUAUUGCAUGUAACAAACAGUUACAUGACCUACAUAAUGGUCAAUCAAGUUAAUGUUGCCGACACGUAACACUUUUUUGGUUACUACAUGAUACUAUAUAUGUUAUUUGUAGUUUUGAUGUCUUCACUUCUAUUCUACAAUGUAGAAAAUAGUAUUUUUUUUAAGUAAAAAAAAACCUUGAAUGAGUAGGUGUGUCCAAACGUUUGACUGGUAUUGUAUGUGAUAAGCAAAAUUGACACAGUUACAAUAGACAUCCACCAUAUUGGUGUUACCUGCAUUUUGUUAGCUCACAAUAAACACAACAGUUCAAUGCUGAGUAAAGAAGGUUAGUACUGUACAGGGAUGGUGAAAAGUAUUUAAACCAUCCUGCAGAAGUAAUUAGCAACCAGAAGGGGGCUCUCUUGCGUCACACUAGUGGUUGCCAAACACUUCCAUGCUGUGGUUACGCACCUAAAGCCUUUGAAUAUAUCUUUCUGCGGCUUACUAACUAAACAAAAGCAAUGUUGUUCAGCACAAAUACAACAUUAUCACUCUACUCCACCAACAGGUUAGUGCAGUGUUCCUUCAUCCUGAUCCUGGGGAAUCAAAGGGGGCGGGGAGGAAGAGAGCCAGUGUGAAGCAGCAGAGUCUCAGCAGCAACCUCUUCAUCCUGGAAAGAGCGGACCAAUCAGGACAGCCAUAUUUCAGUCCCGCCCCUCAGGUCCAGGAAGUAUGUCAGGAGGUGGAUGAGUUCAUCUAUGUGGCCAAUGCAGAGACGGGAAGAGGUAACACCAAGACUCCAACACAUUCCUCAUACUUGCUCCUAUUCCUAGGCCCUUGUUGCCAGCCAGAUAAUCUUGUCAAGCUAUCGCAACAUCAGGCUCGUUCCACCAGGCUACCUUCCAGGACCAAAUCCAGUGAAAGGUGGUGAGGGGGACAGAUCCAGGCAUUGGUGGACCCUGCCUAGUGUUCAUCCUCCAGAACCCUCCUUGUCCUGACUUUUGUGUCCAGAGAGGAACCAGACUCAAUCAGAACCACUAGUCCCAGUACUGCUAGAUUAAAGACCAGGACCCCCAGUGUGGAUAUUGCACAGAGGCUCUGCCUGUGCCUGCUGCCCAACCCCUGGAUUGUCUGUCUGUCUGUGUAGUGUCUGUCUGUCUGUGUAGUGUCUGUCUGUUUAUGUAGUUUAUGUAGUGUCUGUCUGUCUGUGUAGUUUAUGUAGUGUCUGUCUGUGUAGUGUCUGUCUGUGUAGUGUCUGUCUGUCUAUGUAGUGUCUGUCUGUCUGUCUAUGUAGUAUCUGUCUGUGUAGUGUCUGUCUGUCCUGUCUGUCUAUGGUCUAUGUAGUCUGUCUGUCUGCUAGGGUGCUCUGGUCUCAGGCUGUAGCUAUCUGUCUAAGGAACUACCUUCAGCACAAAUGCUUCUGAAGGAAUGUUCUACCUCUGAUGUGCCUUGUUUAAAUGAAUCGCAAAAUAAAAAGUCAUUAUUGGGUAAAUAUUAUUUAAUAACCCUGUAGUAAUUUUUUUGUGAAUAAGUAGUGGGUUGUGAAACAAAACAGAAGUGAAGAGAACUACUGUUUAACUGUAGCUACGGUACUUUAGUGAAGAUAAUGAAGGGUUUUGGUUAUCACAUUAUUUUCUUCUACUACUGCGUAGUUUAGAAGCAUUUAGAAUCAUGUUGAUGUGACAAGGAAUUAUGGGUAAAAAAAAAGAUAUACCUUUAUUUCAGCAAAUCAUGCCAUUUUCUUUAAUUUCUUUCAUAUAAGUUAUAAUUUUUUAUACUCCAAAGUAUUAUGCUUUUAUUUUCUUUCAUUGUUUAAAUUCAUGUUCUAAAUUACCACUGCACAAGUUGUUAUAAAGCAACUGAAAGCCUUCGGUGGGUCACAGCACAGAAACGUUGGUGAGCUGUGCAUCUGGAACAGUGAAAGGCGUUUGCUUCGUAGUUCACAGGCCAACCCUUUCAUUUCUUCCUUAAUCUGCACCAUGAAAAACAACAAGAAAAGAGAAAAUAUGGACAGGUGAAACAUCUCUCCACUAGGCACCUGUAUUCCUUCUACUGUGUUUUCAGAUGAGCGCAGACUGGAAGGAGAGGAGACAGAGGAAGUCAUUUUAAAGUAUUGAGAUGCACCCCUCUGGCUCAGGCAAUGGUACAACAUGCUACUCCAAGUUCUCUGUGGUUAUUUUCCUCUGAGGUCAGCAUUGGCACACUAAACUGAAUUCACAUCUGUCUGAUGGGGGGAGGACAAUGUUCCUAUUUACACCACAAUGUGGCAGGCCUGCUCCUGCUUCUCAGGGCCAGGGGAAGCUGUAGAAUGUAGACUAGUUGCAGCUUGGUUUACUACAUUUUGGGCAUGGGGGUUGCGCUGUGACCCCCUGAAAACAAAUUAAAAUGAAAACUCAAACCACAAAUUUCUAAACACAAUCAAGAAUGUACUGUAGCAACCAUGUGUUUAUAAGCACCAAUAUCAACUCUGCCACAUGAGCACACUUUUGUGGCACAGCACGCUGGGCUAUGGCCGGAAGGUUGGCGGUUUGAAUACCACUACGGACAAGCUCACUUUCCCUGCUUGUUAACUGUUGAUAAAGUAUGGCGGUUGUUGUCUGAUACAAUACAUUAGAGCUGGAAUCCUUAAUAUUGCAGAAUUUGUGCUGCAGUUUUAGCAUGCUGCUCAACACUCAUCACCUUUGUUUUGUC